rnacentral:rRNA from 1 species
UACAGAGGGGGCAAGCGUUAUUCGGAAUUAUUGGGCGUAAAGGGCGCGUAGGCGGCCAUUCAAGUGACGGGUGAAAGCCCUCGGCUUAACCGAGGAACUGCCUGUCAGACUGGAUGGCUUGAAUCCGGGAGAGGGAUGCAGAAUUCCAGGUGUAGCGGUGAAAUGCGUAGAUAUCAGGAGGAACACCGGUGGCGAAGGCGGCGUUCUGGACUGUUUCUGACACUGAGGAACGAAAGCCAGGGGAGCAAACGGG